CUGCCGCCUAAGAAGAAAAUGCAUGAACUAUCAUGUAUCGCCAUUUUCAGUUAGCAACCGUUAUUACCAUGCUACCAUGGUACUGUGAGCGAAAUUUUGAUUUCGAAAUUUAAAGGUUGUUUUAAAACAUGGUGAAUUCUUGUUUCAUUUGUGGAAAAAUUCCAGAAGACAAAGAAAAUGGCGUGCGGAGCUUCAAAGCAGGGAAAAAAGUGCUUGAAUGGCAAGAAGUGAUUUCAAAGAACGGACUAACGCAGUGGUCAAGACUGUGCACUCGUCAUUUUGACCCUGGAGACAUAGUGAAAGGGAAAACGAUCCAAAAUAUAUUUUAUCCCAAUCAAGUGUGGAAGUUGCAGAUUGGAGCCAUUCCCAAGCACUGUUUAGGUAUUACACAGCCAGCACCUGCUGUUCGUAAGCCUUUAGUUGCUAAGAAUAUUGCUUCCAUCAUCAUUUCAAACAAAGAGAAUAAACCAGCUUGCAGAGGGAAAGCAACGCAACAAAAACAUGCAGGAUUAUCACCAUCAAGCAACACCAGUACUAUUUCUGCCACUACAUCAGAUGUCAUUUUCACUGGUGAUUCAAUGACACAAGCAACGUCAAUAAGUGGGUCAACAAAAAAUAAUAGCCACUUGUUGGAUAUUCGUGCUUGUCAGGAAAUUAAUCAGCAGUCAGCUUCUAUGGUAUUGCCGAAUCCUGUUGUAGCCGUGGUAACUACAUCAGCUGUGACUUGUGAUGGGGGGCUAAGGGAUGAUUGGCAACAUCCAACAACGGAAGCAACCUCAGCUAUUUGCUUACCAUUGCAUAAUAGUCCAAAGGUGAAUGCCCGUGAUACAUCUGAUUAUUCUGAUGUUCAAUCUGAUGUUACUACAUCAGCUGUGACUUGUGAUGGGGGGCUAAGAGAUGAUUGGCAACGUCCCACAACGGAAGCAACCUCAGCUAUUUGCUUACCAUUGCAUAAUAGUCCAAAGGUGAAUGCCCGUGAUACAUCUGAUUAUUCUGAUGUUCAAUCUGAUGUUACUACAUCAGCUGUGACUUGUGAUGGGGGGCUAAGGGAUGAUUGGCAACAUCCAACAACGGAAGUAACCUCAGCUAUUUGCUUAUCAUUGCAUAAUAGUUCAAAGGUGAAUGCCCGUGAUACAUCUGAUGUUCAACAAUUCAACAUCGUUGCUUCUGUCGACCGGAAUCCAAUUGAACCCCAUUUUUCUCGCCCAAGCAAACUCGGGAGUUUUUGCCAAGCAGAUGAAUGUAAAAAAAAACAAGCCAUACUGGAGAAAAUGGUGCACUUCGAGAGGAAACGUGCUAACCGUUAUCUAGAGCAGCUUAAAAGAAGUCAUAGGAAGUAAAAAACUGGGCAUUAAAGAUAUACUCGACUAUCACACAAAAUGCAGAUGCUUGCUGACAUCGUUACGGAUUGCAAAGGAAAAAUUGAACAAUUAACGGAGAACCAGCUUGAGGCGAAAAUUAAAAACCUUAGCGUCACGUAUGGGUAAAUUGAACCCUUUCAGGAUUGCCUCACCUAGCUAUCCCAUGACACAAAGGCUAACGACACUGGAACGCAUUUGACUUGUUUGAAGAAACUUAACUUUACGACACUUGAUUUUUCAUUUUUCACAUUUCCCAACCAUUUGUUAAUCAUUUCUGAUUAUGUAUUACCAUUUUUAAAAACUACACGAUUUCUGUCGAUCACAAUGAUACAAUCCUGUCUUACUUGAA
rnacentral:misc_RNA from 1 species